rfam:Macrostomum lignano unitig_20841, whole genome shotgun sequence.
GCCGUUGUAGCCUAGUGGUCAGAGCGUCGGACUCACGACUUGAAGGUCGGGGGUUCGAUUCCUUCGAUUGCA